GACGAACGCUGGCGGCGUGCCUAACACAUGCAAGUCGAGCGGGGUUGAAGCGAGGGGUAACUCGGACUUCUACCUAGCGGCGGACGGGUGCGUAACGCGUAUGCAACAUACCUUGUGCAGGGGGAUAGCCCGUGGAAACGCGGAUUAAUAUUCCAUAGUCCAGCUAUAUCGCAUGGUAUAGUUGGUAAAGAUUUAUCGGCACAAGUUUGGCAUGCGUCUGAUUAGCUUGUUGGUAGGGUAACGGCCUACCAAGGCUACGAUCAGUAGGGGUUCUGAGAGGAUUAACCCCCACACUGGUACUGAGACACGGACCAGACUCCUACGGGAGGCAGCAGUGAGGAAUAUUGGUCAAUGGGCGGAAGCCUGAACCAGCCAUCCCGCGUGAAGGAAGACAGCCUUACGGGUUGUAAACUUCUUUUCUGUCAGAAGAAUAAGCUUGUCGAGACGAGUGAUGCCGGUAUGACAGGAAUAAGCAUCGGCUAACUCCGUGCCAGCAGCCG
rnacentral:rRNA from 1 species